UUCCCGCAGGCCCUUUUAAAACCUUGAGCAAACGAUUCCGCGCGUAGGGUUGGGUUUGAGCGAAAAAUUUUGCGCGUAGGGCUGCGUUAUAUACCAAAAAUUGAGGUCUCAAAAGUUAACGUGCAUCUGCAAGCCAGCUGAUUGCACCGAUAGCACACAUACGCGAGCACAAAAUAAUAAACAAAUAAUUCCUCCGUCUAUACAACACACGGUUGAGGCAGGCCUGGAAUAAUUUCUAAGUUUCCAACGGCCAUUUUGCUACCAGCCUUUUCGACAGCAGCAUCGUGCAAAAGCUGUUGAAGUUUCCGAAAAAUCAUGCAGAGCAAAUGCUGAUGCACGCCCCGAAACGAAAAUUGGUGGCAAAGGAGGCUUUGGCGAAGAAUUUUUCCAUGUGUCGAUCUGGUGCGGAAGAGUACGAGGAGCUGGAAUUUAGCGGCAACAAUUUCCGCUACGAUACGUUCAACCGAAUACCUCUACUAUGGAAAAGAACCGAAGAUUCGGACGGAAGCGGCAUGCAGUUCAAGCAUCAACCGUUCCUCGCUAGCGGUGUGCUUAAAUGUGCUGGGAUAUUCAAUUUUUUUCAUUGUGACAAAAUAUAUGGAAACUGUGCACAGGGAAAUGAUUAUAUUGUAUAAAGUUGAUGAAAAAGUUUUGAAAUAAAUAAAAGAUGUUCAGAAA